rnacentral:rRNA from 1 species
GGUUUGACGGUACCUAUAGAAGAAGCCACGGCCAACUCUGUGCCAGCAGCCGCGGUAAUACAGAGGUGGCGAGCGUUACUCGGAUUUAUUGGGUGUAAAGGGCAAGUAGGCGUCUUAACAAGUUAGAAGUGAAAUCCUGCAGCUCAACUGCAGAACUGCUUUUAAAACUGUUGAGAUUGAGUCUGGGAGAGGAAAGCGGAAUUCUCGGUGUAAGAGUGAAAUCUGUAGAUAUCGAGAGGAACACCAGUGGCGAAGGCGGCUUUCUGGUCCAGUACUGACGCUGAAUUGCGAAAGCUAGGGGAGCAAACAGGAUUAGAUACCCUGGUAGUCCACGCCGUAAACGAUGAGAACUAGGUGUCGCGGGUA